CACAGACUGUUUCCAUUCACCAGCCUGACAGAGUCUGAAGAAAGACAGCAACAGACAGAAGGAUUUCUACUUCUGUAUUCAGGUUCAGGAACCUUCUCAUUCUCUACAAUCAGCAGCAACAAUGUGACACUAAGAAGUGUUUACAUGCCCCACUACAAGGCGACGCAUCAGCCCUUGACUCAUUGCCAUGAUCACACAGUGCGCGUUCACUCUGAGCCGAGCUGCAGACCAGAGCACUCACCAACAUACAAGCUGACGAGCCCCGGAAGGAGUCUUGUGUAUUAUGCUGGAUAAGAGGAGCCAUUUCACUGUGUGAGCCCCCUGAGAGAACACUGAAUAGGAAUUGAUUCAGAUUCCGAGCCUGUGGAGGUUCAUUGGCGAGCUAAGAAGGAUGAGCGAUUCAGACAGAGUGGAGAGCAGUGUGGCGAGCCGUGGGACCCACUCCGGAGAACCCCAGACAUCAUCUCAUUUCACCCAUUGACACAGAUAAGAAAAUAACACAAAAUCUACCAGGGUAGUUGUCACAUGAACAGAACAUUACACACACACCCCACAGAACGGAACUGAACUCUUAACUUCUAAUACAGAAGAAGGGACACUUUUAUUUGAACUUUUCCAUUUUAUAUUCUUUUUGAUGAAAGAGCUCUAUUUAUUUUGUAUUUUUUAUUUUUCAUACACCGCCAGAAAUAAGCUCAUGAAAGGUCCAACUCUCGGAACCUAGAAAGAGUCUAAGUGUCAAUAGUUUGUUCUUCUAGUCAGGCUAAGGGCGCUACACAACCGUCACAGCUGAUGUGCCUGCUGGUGUUACCUGAACAUUUGACCUCCAGGUGGUAUUUGGCAGAAUCAGUUGUUGUAGAUACACAAUCACCAACUGCAGACCCAGACUGAAGACAAGUUGAACUAAUCCUCCAGACAGCACAGCGACUGGAUCCUCCCACCAACCAGAAAAUAUCACGCUCUGAGCAGACAAGAGUUAAAGAUGAAAAAGAAGCCACAUUUAAUAGAAACGCCAAUCAAAUCAAAGCUGCAGCUCCUCUCCUACCUGAGCAGGUGAGUCCAACAGCUUUGCCAGGUGAGCAGGUGUUUCUAUCUGAGCCUGAGGUUCUACAGUCCAGGAGAGCAGACUCAUGGCCUCCACACUGGAACUCACUGGUCCACACUGGAGCCUCCAC